UACGAAGGGGGCUAGCGUUGUUCGGAAUCACUGGGCGUAAAGCGCACGUAGGCGGACCUUCAAGUCAGGGGUGAAAUCCCGGGGCUCAACCUCGGAACUGCCUUUGAUACUGUUGGUCUUGAGUCCGGAAGAGGUGGGUGGAAUUCCUAGUGUAGAGGUGAAAUCCGUAGAUAUUCGGAAGAACACCAGUGGCGAAGGCGGCUCACUGGACUGGUAUUGACGCUGAGGUGCGAAAGCGUGGGGAGCAAACAGG
rnacentral:rRNA from 1 species